UUGCGCCCUUUGGCUAUUCCGAAGGGCAUGCCUGUUUGAGUAUCAUGAACACCUCAACUCUCAUGGUCUUCCAUGACGAGCUUGGACUUUGGGGGUCUUGCCGGCCUAGUGUUGGCUCCUCUCAAAUGGAUCAGCUUGCCAGUGUUUGGUGGGGUCACAGGUGUGAUAACUAUCUACGCGUGUGUUCCCUGCCAUGUAACCUUCAGUGAUGGAGGUUCGCUGGAGCUCAUAGAUGUCUCUCCUCAGUGAGGACAGCUUUUUGAACGUUUGAUCUCAAAUCAGGUAGGACUACCCGCUGAACUUAAGCAUAUCAAUAAGCGGAGG
rnacentral:rRNA from 1 species